CUUAUAUGGGGCAUUUCUUCCAGGUUUCCUGUGGCCAAUCAUCUUGCUUUGCCUGGUUCUGAGUCCGCAUUUGGUUUAUCUCAGUGUCCUCCCAUGUGUGUGCGCGCAUCUCUUAGCCAAGAUGGAUUCUAGUGAAGAGGCCUAUGGUACAAUGGAAAACUCAGGACAUAAAUAUAAAACAGCAUAAGAAGACUGAAAGGUGGAGAUGAAACUGCACCUCAGAUGGGACUUGAACACACAAUGUCCCAAAUGAAACUGCACACCUGGUCUCAGGACUUAAUGAAGGUCGGGUUCUUUAUAUCUUGGCAUAGAAGGAAUUCAGCAAGAGGCAAAGUGAUAGAGAGAAGGCAGACUGAUCAGGGACCCUAGGACUUGACGAAUGACAUGGCGGUGAGUUCCCUGGGUUUGUUUUUUUGCCUCAUAUAUCCCAAAAUUGGAGCUGAAGAAGCCCGGAACCAGGAAGCACCAACAGGCAAGGAGGAAAAAAGCUCCCACCAAAGCCUGCUCUCCCCACCUCUCCUGCUGGGGUGGUGUCAGCAGAUGCCCAGUAGGGAGAGGGGCUUUCAUCUCCACUGGGCCGUAACAACACCCCCACCCUCACUGCCUUAGGUGUCAGAGGAGACCAUGUGGGGAGCCCUUCCUUCCAUCCCUCCUGACAGGAAGCAGGUGCCCCCACCUGGGGGAGUCAGGGCUUUCACCAUUGUAAGGGGUAAGAAGGCCACCACCCCAUCCGCCAUGUUGUCAGUGGGAGCCACAUGGGGACAAUAAUGAGGCACUCCUACCCCUCUUGGGGUGGGGGAGGUGUACCAGUGGAAGCCCCUGGUGACCGGGGGGAGUUGGGACUCCCACCUCUGCUGGCAGUAAUGAGGAGUCCACCCCACCCUGGGUGUCAAGAGAGGCCUAGCAGGAGUCUGGGCUUCUGUACACACCUGAUAGAGACCAGGUGGUCCCCUCCCUCCCCCUGCCAAAGCCAGUUCAAACAGAAAGUUUAAGUAAGUUCCAAAGUUUUGUAACAUAAUGCCCUAAACUUCCAGGUUUUAAAAAUCGUGAUAAAAUGUACAUAAAAUUUACCAUUUAACCAUUCUUAAGUGUGCAGUUCAAUGACAUUAAGUACAAUCACAUUUUUGUGCUACCAUCAUUACCAUUCAUCUCUAGAACUUUUUCAUCUCAUUAGACAUUAAACAUUAAAAAGUCCCUGUUAGCCUCUGAUAACCACUAUUUUAACUUUCUGUCUUUGAAUUUGCCUCUGUACUCUAAGUACCUUUUAUAAGUGGAAUCACACAGUAUUUGUCCUUUUGUG